UACGGAGGGUGCAAGCGUUAAUCGGAAUUACUGGGCGUAAAGCGCACGCAGGCGGUCUGUCAAGUCGGAUGUGAAAUCCCCGGGCUCAACCUGGGAACUGCAUUCGAAACUGGCAGGCUAGAGUCUUGUAGAGGGGGGUAGAAUUCCAGGUGUAGCGGUGAAAUGCGUAGAGAUCUGGAGGAAUACCGGUGGCGAAGGCGGCCCCCUGGACAAAGACUGACGCUCAGGUGCGAAAGCGUGGGGAGCAAACAGGAUUAGAUACCCUGGUAGUCCACGCCGUAAACGAUGUCGAUUUGGAGGUUGUGCACUUGAGGAGUGGCUUCCGGAGCUAACGCGUUAAAUAGACCGCCUGGGGAGUACGGCCGCAAGGUUAAA
rnacentral:rRNA from 1 species